rnacentral:lncRNA from 1 species
CGAGGAUAGUUCCUGUUCUUUGGAAAUUCUACUAAUGCAACACAUGUGUUCUGAUGAUAGUCUACUAAUUGAAACAUAAGAUGAUACUGGGUAGUGCGUACCUGGACAAUCCAACGUAGGACAUAUAUAAUCUUUUGUCCACGUAGGAGGUCAAGUGUGACGUCCAAAACGUCGAGGUUGCUCAAUUCUAGUUUCUUCUGAUAAUAAAGGAGACGAACUCUGAUGAAUCAUCAGCGAAGAGGUCACUGAAGAAUUUGAUGAAGGAUCUUUCUUAGGUGAAGAAGCUGGUGAGUCGAUGGUUC